CAAUAAUCAAUACCAGGGUACAUGUAUCAUGCUGGAAAAUUACGAAUGUGUCAGACGAAUUAUUUUGUUUUUCAUAGAAGAUAAACAAAAUCAUCGAGCUUUGUAGAACGAUGAAUCAGAAUGACUGAAUGACACUAAGUUUUGCAAAAUGGAUAUAUCCCUAACUUCCAUGGCCUUCGACAUAUUUGAGUGGGAUCCUGAAACAACCCCUGACACAACAACUUAAUUUACAAGAACAACCCUGCGUAUAAGAAUUUCAAUACUUCUGACAAAAACAAACAAAAGCAACUCCAGAUUUAUGAACAACUCUGAUUACUAGAACAUGAACACCAACCCCAUCUUUAAGAACAACAACUUCAACCCCAGAACAUCAACACUUCCUGCAGGGACAACUACAAAAACAUCGGCUUCAAGAACAAAUUCAUCCUAAACACAAACAUCAGCAACAACAGCUACCCGAAUAAAACUACUCGAACUACAAGAACACCAGCAACACACUCUUUAAGAACACCAGCAUCAUCAUCUUCUUCUAGACUUGCAAAUGCAACAAACACCAAAGACAAAGUUGAAUGGCUAACUUCAAUGGAGAGGACAGAGUAAUGGCAAAAAGAGGAUCAUUUUAAAGAGAGGAGGAAGAGGGAUAUGUAAAGAGUGUUCUGAGGCCAGGAUAUCAGCAGUGCGUUCAGUCAGGCGAGCGUUUACAAAACGCUCGCAAACGUUUUGUUUUGUAUCUCUGUUGCAACGCAGCGCAUAUACGUUAAGCGGGAAACCAAACAGCAAACGUUCGCCGCAAACAUCUUUACUGAACGCGUUGCAGAUUCAUGAUGGGGGAGGGAGGGGGGGGGGGCGGUGGAACAAUUUUCGAGAAUUAUUGACAUACAUGUGUAUAAAUAUAUAUAUAUCAUGGUAGGAACUGUUUGCCUUGUCAACUGUGACUUAAAUAUUUAGUUCUUGUGUCAGCCUGUGCUUAUCUCAAAUAUUUAAUGACAUUUUUUUGGUUUGUUUGAUAGACAUGAUAAUUAUAUAACUAUUAAAUAUAAAUGGCAACAAUUAUAGAUAAAACAUUGUA